GCAGUGGUGGCUUCGUGGUUAAAAGCUUUGGGUUAUUAAUCAGAAGGUUAGGAGUUCAAGCCCCAGCACUGCA